AUUGAACGCUGGCGGCAGGCCUAACACAUGCAAGUCGAGUGGAUGAAGGGAGCUUGCUCCUGGAUUCAGCGGCGGACGGGUGAGUAAUGCCUAGGAAUCUGCCUGGUAGUGGGGGAUAACGUCCGGAAACGGGCGCUAAUACCGCAUACGUCCUGAGGGAGAAAGUGGGGGAUCUUCGGACCCCACGCUAUCAGAUGAGCCUAGGUCGGAUUAGCUAGUUGGUGGGGUAAAGGCCUACCAAGGCGACGAUCCGUAACUGGUCUGAGAGGAUGAUCAGUCACACUGGAACUGAGACACGGUCCAGACUCCUACGGGAGGCAGCAGUGGGGAAUAUUGGACAAUGGGCGAAAGCCUGAUCCAGCCAUGCCGCGUGUGUGAAGAAGGUCUUCGGAUUGUAAAGCACUUUAAGUUGGGAGGAAGGGCAGUAAGUUAAUACCUUGCUGUUUUGGCGUUACCAACAGAAUAAGCACCGGCUAACUUCGUG
rnacentral:rRNA from 1 species